rnacentral:lncRNA from 1 species
AAAAAACCAGCCUUGAAGGCUACAAGUGAUGAGAAAGAUUCUUUUUCGAAUAUAACCAGAGAAAAAAAGGAUGGAGAAAUAUCUAGGACAGUGACUUCUGAGAAACCAGCAGGCUUGAAGGCUACAAGUGACGAGGAAGAUUCUGUUUUGAAUAUAGCCAGAGGAAAAGAGGAUGGAGAAAAAACUAGGAGAGUGUCUUCUCGGAAAAAACCAGCCUUGAAGGCUACAAGUGAUGAGAAAGAUUCUUUUUCGAAUAUAACCAGAGAAAAAAAGGAUGGAGAAACAUCUAGGACAGUGUCUUCUCAGAAACCACCAGCCUUGAAGGCUACAAGUGACGAGGAAGAUUCUGUUUUGAGUAUAGCCAGAGAAGAAAAGGAUGGAGAAAAAUCUAGGACAG